rnacentral:tRNA from 1 species
GCGGGAGUAACUCAGCUGGCAGAGUGUCUGCUUCCCAAGCAGAAUGUCGCGGGUUCGAGUCCCGUCUCCCGCUCCA